rnacentral:sRNA from 1 species
CUUCAAGCUAGUUAACCUAAAAUCGUCACGUCCUGUAACAACGGUUAACUGACCUACAUUAUGCAAG